GCAGUGANGUGAAGCAAAUCGCACCAAAGCCGGUCCCAGUUCGGAUAAGAGGCUGAAACUCGCCUCUUUGAAGUCGGAAUCGCUAGUAAUCGCAGAUCAGCAUGUUGCGGUGAAUACGUUCCCGGGUCUUGUACACACCGCCCGUCAAACCAUGAGAGUCACCAACACCCGAAGUCCGCUUUGGCGGCCUAAGGUGGGGGAGAUGAUUGGGGUUAAGUCGUAACAAGGUACC
rnacentral:rRNA from 1 species